rnacentral:rRNA from 1 species
UACGUAGGGUGCGAGCGUUGUCCGGAAUCACUGGGCGUAAAGGGCGCGUAGGCGGACUUUUUAAGUCAGGGGGUGAAAUCCUGAGGCUCAACCUCAGAACUGCCUUUGAUACUGAGGGUCUCGAGACCGGUAGAGGUAAGUGGAACUGCGAGUGUAGAGGUGAAAUUCGUAGAUAUUCGCAAGAACACCAGUGGCGAAGGCGGCUUACUGGACCGGUUCUGACGCUGAGGCGCGAAAGCGUGGGGGAGCAAACAGG